UGCUGCCAUUUUAUGAUUGAAAUAACUCUGACUAUUCUCAUUUAAGACUGAAAAUGAUCACAAUUUAUGCUAAAUGUGUAACUGAAAGGAGGGCUGCUGAUAACUAUCAUUCUAUGCUUAUCUGCCUUUUAUUUUCUGAUUAUUUGCCUUUAGAAAUACUUAUCACUGCUGCUUAAUAAUAAUGUUUGUAACUGAAACUAGCAUAUUCCAAUAGGCAGCCAUCUAACGUGUAUUUCUCUUGAAAUUUUGGUUGGUUUAGAAUGAGUUAGCAACUAUCAACCUGGUUCACCUAAAACCGAUAUCCUAGUGGGACCAAUUCACAACUUAAGUGGAACUAACUGAAUCAAAAGUGCCAUGUAUGAUUGCAUAGCUUAUAUCUAAGCAAUGUUGAGAUUCAUUAUGAAUGUAUGCAGCUGA